ensembl:lncRNA
GCAGCACUUUGUGUGCCAUACCAAAGGAAACCUUACACAGGAAAUCAACACAAGAUCACACGCGAUUUCUCCCAGAAGCAAUGAACGGGGAGAAACGAGUGUGUGUCUAAGUGCCGUCUGGACCUGAGAAUGGACACAGAACCCUGCUUCACCCACACAAACACGCGUCUCAAAAGUGAACACAGACCCACAUGCAGGAGGUCAAACCCUCACCUUCACCCGGGCUGGGACUCGCGCACGACAUCAGGUACAAGUGGUGAGUGUGGACCCCGUGUCCUAAGGGGAGGCUUUCGGCUUCUCAUCACAAGGUAAGAUGCUAGCUGUGAGCUUUCAAGGUGCCCCCUGAGGGAAUGGGGGUCUUGUCUUUGCGUUUCCAAGCUGGGGCUGUUUUAAAAUCAUGCAAGGGAGUUUGUUGCCGUCCGGUCCUCGCUCUGCAGUGACCGCCGCAUCCAUACGAUGGUUGUCCAACCCUAACCAGACCCAGGCCUCAGACGCGGUGCCCGCUGGACUAAUGCAGUGUCUCCAGACGGCCACACCCAGGCCUGCGAGGACCAACAGGAACCGACCGGCCUCUGCCGCUGAAGGCUGACCCGGUGAGGACCCAGGACCAGCACGUCCUCAGGGGCGGACCGUGUCCACGCCGCCGCCCCGGGAGGCCUCGGAGAGCCUGCGCUGCGUGUCCACGCCGCCGCCCCGGGAGGCCUCGGAGAGCCUCGCGCUGCGUGUCCACGCCACUGCCCCGGGAGGCCUCGGAGAGCCUGCGCUGCGUGCCCACGCCGCUGCCCCGGGUGGCCUCGGAGAGCCUGCGCUGCGUGUCCACGCCGCCGCCCCAGGAGGCCUCGGAGAGCCUCGCGCUGCGUGUCCACGCCGCUGCCCCGGGAGGCCUCGGACAGCCUGCGCUGCAGCCGCGGGCUGCUGAGCCCUCGAGGGGCAAACCCGCAGCAGACGGGCUGGGGCCACGCAGACACAAACAGACGAAACAGGCCAGAAGAAACUCUCUUAGAAACGGCACCGCCACCACCACAGGGACACUUUGUAACGUCCUCCGUAGAGGCUUUCCUCGGAAACGUGCCUGCGGAGCUCCCACACACCGCACGGGUGUGUGCUGGGCGUGUUCCUUCCUUUGGCAGGUGUCACGAGGCUUAGAAACUUCCUCUGACCGCUGUGAACUCGACCCCACUGGCUCUAACGCUCUGAGAGGGCCAGCCUCGGGAGUGGGGCUGGGAAUGGCCGUCAGCAGUGCCAACUCGCUCAACGGGACCCAGGAGCUGCGUUACUCGGAGAACGCUCCCUGCCGCCAGAGACUACAGAGUUUACUUCCCGUCUCAUCCAGAGGGUUUGUGACCUACUUGUAUCACAUUUUACCCAUUGCUGACCCUUGAUUAAAUAGGGCCGGCUUCUCUUCCAGGAGAAGGAACACAAGCUGGAUUGGAAAUGAAAACAAAUGUUCCCAUAGAUAUGCACGUGGCACCUGCUCAAGGGGGUGAGUGCACCCGUAAAAGUCUUGUUUUCUUUUAACAGAAAGAACCUCACAAUACAUGAGGUAAAACAAGCUCCUAAGGAAUCUUUCAUAAAAUAAAACAUUGUGUGUGUGUAUGUAUAUGCACAGAAAAGGUACUGGAAAGAAAGAUGUAAAAAAUACAAAUCAAUGUCCCAGCAACAGUUAUUAGUGGGUGGGGAAAUCUGUGUGUUUCUGCUUUUAUACUGGGAAUUUGUAUUUCCAAAUUUUGUAUAAUAAAUACGCGUUGAUUCUAAAAAAAAAAAAAUUUAAGGCAAAAGUCUAUCAUCCUGGUUCCAGUUAAGUUACUGUCUUUCUUACCAGAAAAGGAAAAAAUAGAAAAUGUUCUUAGAUUUUACUUAAAGGAUCAUGGUUAAAUGAUAUUUUGAAGUGAAAUUCAAAAUGAUGUGGAUUUACAUGUUAGUAUUGCCAAUCAGAUUUCUAAGGAAGAAAACCUGGAAGAAAAGUUAUUGGGUUGUUUGAAAGAGAACAGGCCUUGCACGGUGAACUGCAUUUCCUGGCCAACUGUUAACUAAGCAAGAACCUCAGGAACGCUCAGCCUUUGGGACGCUGCCGAGUGCUGUCUUUCUCUAAGCUCCCCACUCCUGGGGUUCUGUGGGCCCUCUCUGCCCCUCUGAAUGCAGGACAGGGACGCAAUGACCCCAGGGCCACAGCCCCAGUGCCCCACCCCCGGCUCCAGGCGCCCUUCCUGAAGGCACUCCAGGACCCUUCCCCGCCCCCAAAGGAGACGACUCUGUGCCCCCACCUGGGGCAGCGACGCUGGGAGGAGGCUAGUCCCCCGUGAGUGAAGGUGUAUUCAGCACAACGCCAACCCCAAAUGCAAGUGACUUGGAACUGGACAAAAUCACUUGAAAGUUUACAUGGAAAAACAAAUGUGCAAGAAUUGUCAAAAAAUUUGAAAAAUGAGAAAGGCUUGGGAGGAAUUUGUCUACUAGGGAGUAAAGAGAGGCUGCAGAAGAAAGAGAUGACGGAGGCAGAAGCAAGCGGGUCCAGACACGGAGGGUCAGCGGGCCAUCUAUGCCAUGGGGAUCACUGAGCUUGUCCCCUCUCUCGUUGUAUCCAAAAGCUAAGAUGGCCUGAGGAUCAAAGUGCAAAGGAAGCAAGUAAAACUGUGAGAAUAUUACAAAGAUUGGAGGAAUGUUUGGAAAACUCAGGAGCAAAGAAGGUUUUUAAAAGACAAAAUAAAAAUUUGACACAUUUGGCUUCAGAAAAAUUUGUGACCUCUACAUUGCAAAAGACACAAUAAACUUUUUAAAAUGACAGAUUGGAUGAAAUAUAUUUGAGACACAAAGAACAAAGAAUUAAUCAGUAUUUUCAAUAGUCAAAGAGCUCUUAAAAUGGAUAAUAUGCAAAUACUCCAGUAUAAAAAUGGGGAAAAUAUAUGAAAACCUAAUGCAAUGCACACAAGAGAGAUUGUCGAACAGUCAAGGCAGACGGAAUGAUGUACGUUCCCACUGGUGUCAAGAGGAAUGCACAUAUAAACAAUUGUUUUACUUGGAUAAAACCAAAUAUACUGUUCUUAUGCUGCAGAGUCUGGGGAAACUGGUGGAAGCCUGAGUCCCUCUGGCUUUGGGGAACGUCACCGUGAAGACUUAUGAAGGUGUAGCACAGGCAGCCCUUUGCCUGUGGACGUCCGCCAGCAGUACCCGACAACAGGGCCCCUCAGGGGCUCCGCGGUGAAGCGUCCAGCUGCACUGCGCAGGACGCGGGCUCGGUUCCUGCGUCAGGAAGAUCCCCUGGAGAAGGCCAUGGCCACCCACUCCAGGCUUCUUGCCUGGAGAAUUCCAUGGACAGAGGAGCCUGGCGGGCUACGGACCACAGGAUAGCAAAGAGUCGGACACAACGGAGGCGACUCAGCACACGCGUGCAGCUGACAAUGUGGGCACAGAGACACUCCCAGAGAGCUGUCAGAAAAAACCACUGGGAGGCCAGAGCCUCCCGGUCUGUCAGGGCAUGGUUCUCCCGUGGAGGACGACAAUGCUGCCGAUGAGAGGCGGUCGCGUCUGCCCGCAGGGUCACAGGAGCUGCCCUGACGUAUGGCUGGGGUGUGAACGAGGGCGCAGCAGACGGACAGGUGUGGUGUCAUCUAACCCUGUGAGUUUCAUGCGUGGAUGGAGCGCGCUGAGAGCUGCUUGGGCGUCACCCUUGAGGUUCUGCUGGGAGUGCCGCUGUCUCUACACUGGUUCACGAGCCCAUGUCACGACAUAUAAUGAAGAAGCAGUGAGGAGCUAAUCCCAACCAACUCCCACACUUUAAAUGGGCAACCAGCCCGGCCUCCUGGCGUGGAGUUGGCGGGGGGGGGGUUCCGGCGAUACCACAGAUGACCAAGCCAAAGGGGGUUGCUCUCAACACUUGAAAUCGGAGGCAUUUGCCCUGCUGGAUUUCAGACAGGCUUAGGGCUGGUGACCUUUGCUUCCUUCUGAGUUCUUCCUUCUUGAAUGGGUGUGUCUAGCCUAUGAUGGUCCCCUCAGUGCACUUUGGAAGCAAAUGGCUUGUCUGGUUUCACACGUUCACAGAUGGAGAGGACUUUGGUCCAGGAUGAAUCCUGCCCGGAGUCUCAGCCAUCACAGAUCUGCACGACUUAGGUGACAGGCUUUGGGACUUAGAGCUGAUGCUUGAAUUCAGGGAAGUUGUGAUGCAAUGAAUUAUUCUGUGUGACAGAAGAGAGUGGGCUUUCGGGGGCCAGAGGGCAGACAAUGUGGACCAAAUUGUGUCUCUUCAAAAACGGUGAGUGGUUGACCCUUGAACAACACGAGUUUGGACUGUGCUGGUUAACACAUGUGUGUGUGUGUUUCAGUAUACCAUUGGCCCUCUGGAUUCAUGGGUCUCAUAUCCAAGUAUCACCAAAGCUUGGACUGAAAUGUCUGUGUUUGGUUGAGCCCUUGGAUCCAGAACGCAUGGACGUGGAUGGCUAACUAUGGGACUUGAGCAUCGGUGGAUUUUGUUAAAUGCAAGGACUCCUGGAGCCAACAUCCCACAAGUACCAAGGAUGACUGCAUUGGAGCCCUAAAAUGUUAGCAUUAACUGAUCAACUGACUCAGAAUGAGCCGCCCUGACUUUCAGGAGCUUCAGUUCAGUUCAGUCGCUCAGUCGUGUCCGACUCUUUUAGACCCCAUGAAUCGAAGCACGUCAGGCCUCCCUGUCCAUCACCAACUCCCAGAGUUCACUCAGACUCACGUCCAUAGAGCAGAAACCAAAUGUUAUUGGGGACCGUACAGAAGACCCUCAGACGCAACACUGCCCAUGUUCUCCGGGUGGCACAGAAGAUAGAUGAGCGCUGUCUUACUUUCGUGUAUUCGUCCGGAUGUUAGUUGUAAAGCAGGCUAAGAAUUAUUGUACUUUUUGCAAAAUAAGUAAAACUGAGAUAUGAGUAAUUGUUAGUAAUGUUAAGCGAUCUAUUUGAUCUAACUUACCUCUGCACAGAUGAACUCAAGUUGGCAACUGAUUUCUGUGAGAAUAAAUAAAAAUCAGUAACAUUGCACAAGAGAUAUUGUCGAUGUUGAGGUUAUUUUUUUGGGAACUUCGCAUCUGUUGUUAGUGGACUCACCUGACGCUGCUGCGGGGAUGUCUGAGGCCUAGGGAAGGCUCUCACCGAGGGCACAGCUUCUGUCCUCCCCAGCCAUGCUGCACACCCAGGGUGGCUUCAUUUCUCCUUAGUGAGCGUGAAUAUAUUUGAAUUUUAAGAAAACCGCCAAACGGCUUUCCCAAGUGGUGCCGCUGUAAGUCCUCGUCUUACUUUUAAUGCGUCAGACACCCAGCUCCUCUAGGGGUUCUCCAUCACCUGGUAUUGUUGCCUCUUCGGUGUUAGCCAUUCCGAUUCAGGUGUGCAUGAGUGCGUGUGCGCUCAGUCGUGUCUGACUCUGCGACCCCAUGGACUGUGGCCCUCCAGGCUCCUCUGUUCAUGGAAUUUUCCAGGCAAGAAUACUGGAGUGGGUGCCAUGCCCUCCUCCAGGGGCCAUUCUUGACACAGAGAUCGAACCUGCGUCUCCUGCCCCGGCAGGCAGGCUCUUCACCACUGUGUCGCCUGGAAGCCCUGACUCCGUGCGGCGGCGUCUUACUGUGGCUUUGAUUUGCAUUCCCCUAAUGUCUAAUGGUGUUGACCAUCUUUUCAUGUGCUUAAUUGCCACCCAUAUAUAUAUACACACAUAUACGCUGCUGCUGAGUUGCUGCAGUCGUGUCCGACUCUGUGGGACCCCAUGGACGGCAGCCCACCAGGCUCCCCCGUCCCUGGGAUUCUCCAGGCAAGAACACUGGAGUGGGUUGCCAUUUCCUCCUCCAAUGCAUGAAAGUGAAAAGUGAAAGUGAAGU